rnacentral:rRNA from 1 species
CAAAUCGCGGCCGUCUCACCAAGCCAAAUCGCCUGCUUGCUUGGUCCCUCCAGGAGGUGGCCGGCGACAACUGCGUCUACCGCAACAUCGUGCACCACGAGGCCGGGGAGCGCACGCAGGUCCUGCAGGACGUGGCCUCCGACCCCACCCUGCCCCGCACCAAGGACGUCCGCUGCGCCGCCUGCGGCCACGGCGAGGCCGUCUUCUUCCAGGCUACAGCAAGAGGGGAGGAGGGGAUGACUCUCUUCUUCGUGUGCUGCAACCCCUCCUGCGGCAACCGGUGGAGGGAGUGAACGAUCCGCAUCUCCUGCCUGCGGAGGCCACCGUCGACCCGUGCCCUUUAGGCCUUAAUUGAUCGUGCUCUGGAAUUUAGCUUCCGAUAGCUUAGCCGUCUUGUCAGAGCACAAGAGAGCUCAACUUGUGAAACAUAUAAUUGUGGUUUCAGUACUUGCCCGUGACCAUGUACUUAAUUUACAAACCCUUAUAUGUCUCUAGUGAGACUAAUCUCAUUUUAUAGGUUGGUUCUUGCCUAUCCACUGUUAAUCCCUCUGUUUUUGAUGUCCUGCACAAAGUGGGUUAUGAGCAUCAUCGUGCAAUUGAUUCAAUUUUGUAUCCAGUGUGAUGUUACUUCUCAGGAAAGAAAAGACAAGCUGGUUUGUAGUAUUCUGUGAUUAUAUGUGGACUGGGUUUCUGAAUGUUAAAGUUCUGGAUGCCUCGGUACCAGCAUCUAGAUGUGUCAAAAGAUGUGAGGUAGACAGAAGACUUGGAACUAUCCUCAAGGAACAGGAGAUGGCAUCUCUCCCUGUCCCGAGUGUGCAGGCCAUGGUGGCGGCCACCGGUGGAGCCGACGUGCCGCCAAGGUAUCUCCGUCCGGCAGAGGCGGUCGCUGGCGACAGCGAGGCCCACAUCCCCAUCAUCGACUACCAGAGGCUGCUGCUGGAGCUGGAGCUGGACCGCCAUGGCGAGGAGUCUGCACGCCUUCACGGGGCCUGCCAGGACUGGGGCUUCUUCCAGCUGAUUAACCACAGCGUCCCAGACGAUGUGGUGGAGGGAAUGAAGGCCAGCAUCCAGCAGUUCUUUCAGUUACCCAUGGAGACGAAGAAACAGUUUGCUAUGGAGCGAGGGCAGCUGGAAGGCUACGGUCAACUAUUCGUCUUCUCGGAGGAUCAGAAGCUCGAUUGGGCUGACAUACUUUACCUCUACACACAGCCACAUGAGAGCAGGAACACCAAGCUCUGGCCAGACCAGCCUGCCAACUUCAGAUCGAUGCUGGAUAGAUAUUCUGGUGCUGUCAAGGAUGUAUCAGACUCCCUUUUGGCCACGAUGGCAAAGAAUUUGGGACUGAAAAGAGAAGCGAUCGCUGACAAAUGCAUCCGUGGAGUGCAGUCUGUCAGAAUGAACUACUACCCCCCAUGCGCCCAAGCUGAGAAAGUCGUUGGCUUAUCCCCGCAUUCUGAUGCUGGUCUCCUAACCCUUGUCCUCCAAGUGAAUCAUGUCCAGGGCCUGCAGAUCAAGAGGAACAACAGGUGGCUUCCAGUCAAGCCUGUCCCGGGCGCUUUCAUCGUCAACAUCGGAGAUAUGUUUGAGGUCUUCACGAACGGGAGGUACAAGAGCAUCGAGCACCGGGCGGUUGUCGACCCGAAGGAAGAACGGCUGUCAGUCGCGGCGUUCCACUUACCAAACAUCCACGCCAUUAUAAGUCCUCUGAAGGAGAUUGCGGCACAUGAAGACGAUGGCUACAAGACGUUGGACCACGGGAGCUUCAUGAAGCUUUUCUACACGACAAAGCUCGAGGGGAAGAGCUUCUUGGAGAGGCUGAAGCUAAACUAGCUGGCCAGCAGCUGAAUGCUACCGUAUAUCAGGUAACAAGCCAUAUUGGUGCAGGCACCGUUGAUUCGCGUCCAUGCAUCAUUCUUGUAUCAGAUGCUCAGAUAGUUGACACAUGUAUCGGUUUGCACUUUGCAACCAAUCAUUCUCUGGAAUUUAGUUUCCGAUAGCUAGUCGCCUUGUUAGAGGCACAUAUUCUGUGGUUUCAGUGUGUUCUGUAACUCUGUGCAAACCUUUAUUUAUGUCACCUAAUCGCAUUCGAUAGAUUGUUGUUUCUACCA